CCUACGGGAGGCAGCAGUGGGGAAUAUUGCACAAUGGGCGCAAGCCUGAUGCAGCCAUGCCGCGUGUGUGAAGAAGGCCUCCGGGUUGUAAAGCACUUUCAGCGGGGAGGAAGGCGUUAAGGUUAAUAACCUUGGCGAUUGACGUUACCCGCAGAAGAAGCACCGGCUAACUCCGUGCCAGCAGCCGCGGUAAUACGGAGGGUGCAAGCGUUAAUCGGAAUUACUGGGCGUAAAGCGCACGCAGGCGGUCUGUCAAGUCGGAUGUGAAAUCCCCGGGCUCAACCUGGGAACUGCAUUCGAAACUGGCAGGCUAGAGUCUUGUAGAGGGGGGUAGAAUUCCAGGUGUAGCGGUGAAAUGCGUAGAGAUCUGGAGGAAUACCGGUGGCGAAGGCGGCCCCCUGGACAAAGACUGACGCUCAGGUGCGAAAGCGUGGGGAGCAAACAGGAUUAGAUACCCCAGUAGUC
rnacentral:rRNA from 1 species